UACAGAGGUCCCAACCGUUGUUCGGAUUCAUUGGGCGUAAAGGGUGCGUAGGCGGCGCGGUAAGUCGGGUGUGAAAUCUCGGAGCUUAACUCCGAAACUGCAUUCGAUACUGCCGUGCUUGAGGACUGGAGAGGAGACUGGAAUUUACGGUGUAGCGGUGAAAUGCGUAGAUAUCGUAAGGAAGACCAGUGGCGAAGGCGGGUCUCUGGACAGUUCCUGACGCUGAGGCACGAAGGUCAGGGGAGCAAACGGG
rnacentral:rRNA from 1 species